rnacentral:lncRNA from 1 species
UUUUUGAGACGGAGUCUCACUCUGUCGCCAGGUAUAGUGCAGUGGCGCGAUCUUGGCUCACUGCAACCUCUGGCUCCCUGGUUCAAGCGAUUCUCCUGACUCAGCUUCCCAAGUAGCUGGGAUUACAGGCACACACAACCAGGCCCAGCUAAUUUUUGUAUUGUUAGUAGAGACGGGGUUUCGCUGUGUUGGCCAGGAUGGUCUCGAUCUCCUGACCUCGUGAUCCGCCAGCCUCGGCCUCCCAAAGUGCUGAGAUUACAGCCAUGAGCCACAGUGCCAGGCCUCACAUCAUCACUUUCAAACUAUCCUCCUUCCUCAAAAGCCCCACCUCUUUGUGUCUACAUUCUAAUGAUCACCCAGUCACACCCCUCAUUCACUGAAGACUUGACUCCUAGCUCACUGUCUUCCUCUUCAUCCUGACUGGCGUCCUCAUUUUUAUCCAGAUAGCCUCCCAUCUGACACCUGGGGUCCUCAACCCACCAACCUCACUGCUUUUUUUUUUUUUUUUUUUUUUUUUUUUUUUUUUUUUUUUAACUCUUAUGUCUAUUCUGUGUUCAUUCUCUCCCUUAUCCACCUUUGAUGUCCUGGUCGUCAUUAUGAAAAGCAAUUGUACUUCUUUUAUAUUCACUUGCCCAUCUGAGUAUAACUUCUCUGGGCCUGCACCAGA